UGGGGAAUAUUGCACAAUGGAGGGAACUCUGAUGCAGCGACGCCGCGUGAACGAAGAAGGCUUUCGAGUCGUAAAGUUCUUUUGUAUGGGAAGAUAAUGACGGUACCAUGGGAGGAAGCCCCGGCUAACUACGUGCCAGCAGCCGCGGUAAUACGUAGGGGGCGAGCGUUGUCCGGAAUUACUGGGCGUAAAGGGUUCGCAGGCGGCAUGGCAAGUCCGAUGUAAAAGGCGAAGGCUCAACCUUCGUAAGCAUCGGAAACUGUCAAGCUUGAGUGAAGGAGAGGCAAGUGGAAUUCCUAGUGUAGCGGUGGAAUGCGUAGAUAUUAGGAGGAAUACCGGUGGCGAAGGCGACUUGCUGGACUUCAACUGACGCUGAGGAACGAAAGCGUGGGUAGCAAACAGG
rnacentral:rRNA from 1 species